UGAGGAAUAUUGGUCAAUGGGCGAGAGCCUGAACCAGCCAAGUCGCGUGAAGGAAGACUGCCCGCAAGGGUUGUAAACUUCUUUUGUAUGGGAUUAAAGUCGUCUACGUGUAGACGUUUGCAGUUACCAUACGAAUAAGCAUCGGCUAACUCCGUGCCAGCAGCCGCGGUAAUACGGAGGAUGCGAGCGUUAUCCGGAAUUAUUGGGUUUAAAGGGUGCGUAGGUUGCAAGGGAAGUCAGGGGUGAAAAGCUAUAGCUCAACUAUGGUCUUGCCUUUGAAACUCUCUAGCUAGAGUGUACUGGAGGUACGUGGAACGUGUGGUGUAGCGGUGAAAUGCAUAGAUAUCACACAGAACUCCGAUUGCGCAGGCAGCGUACUACAUUACAACUGACACUGAAGCACGAAAGCGUGGGUAUCAAACAGGAUUAGAUACCCUGGUAGUCCACGCAGUAAACGAUGAAUACUAGAUCUAUGCGAUAUGACAGUAUGGGUCUAAGCGAAAGCGAUAAGUAUUCCACCUGGGGAGUACGCCGGCAACGGUGAAACUCAAAGAGAUUGGCGGGGGUCCGCACAAGCGGAGGAACAUGUGGUUUAAUUCGAUGAUACGCGAGGAACCUUACCCGGGAUUGAAAUGUAGAUGCAUGAGGCUGAGAGGUCUCUUCCCUUCGGGGCUUCUAUGUAGGUGCUGCAUGGUUGUCGUCAGCUCGUGCCGUGAGGUGUCGGCUUAAGUGCCAUAACGAGCGCAACCCGCGUCGAUAGUUACUAACGAGUUAAGUCGAGGACUCUAUCGAGACAGCCGUCGUAAGACGAGAGGAAGGAGCGGAUGACGUCAAAUCAGCACGGCCCUUACAUCCGGGGCGACACACGUGUUACAAUGGUAGGGACAGCGAGCAGCCA
rnacentral:rRNA from 1 species